rnacentral:rRNA from 1 species
UGGGGAAUAUUGGACAAUGGGGGCAACCCUGAUCCAGCAAUGCCGCGUGUGUGAAGAAGGCCUGCGGGUUGUAAAGCACUUUCAGUAGAGAAGAAAAGCCUAGGGUUAAUACCCCUGGGUCUUGACGUAACCUACAGAAUAAGCUCCGGCUAACUCCGUGCCAGCAGCCGCGGUAAUACGGGGGGAGCAAACGUUGUUCGGAAUUACUGGGCGUAAAGGGCGCGUAGGCGGUCCCGCAAGUGGUGUGUGAAAUGCCCUGGCUCAACCAGGGAACUGCGCACCAAACUGCGGGACUUGAGGGCAGUAGAGGAAGCUGGAAUUCCAGGUGUAGCGGUGAAAUGCGUAGAUAUCGGGAGGAACAUCAGUGGCGAAGGCGGCUACCUGGACUAACACUGACACUGAGGCACGAAAGCGUGGGGAGCAAACAGGAUUAGAUACCCUGGUAGUCCACGCUGUAAACGAUGGGUACUAGACGUUGGGAAGUUUAAUCUUCUUAGUGUCGCAGCUAACGCAUUAAGUACCCCGCCUGGGGAGUACGGCCGCAAGGUUA